UACGGGGGGGGCUAGCGUUGUUCGGAUUUACUGGGCGUAAAGCGCACGUAGGCGGAUCGUUAAGUUAGGGGUGAAUCUGGAGCUCAACUCCAGAACUGCCUCUAUACUGGCGAUCUAGAGUCCGGAAGAGGUGAGUGGAAUUCCGAGUGUAGAGGUGAAAUUCGUAGAUAUUCGGAGGAACACCAGUGGCGAAGGCGGCUCACUGGCGUCGACCACUGACGCUGAGGUGCGAAAGCGUGGGGAGC
rnacentral:rRNA from 1 species